rnacentral:snoRNA from 1 species
UCCUCCUACAAAAGGCGUGUACUGUGGGUUCCCUGUCCCUUAGACACGUAAGAAAUUAGAGGCAAAGAAAUGUGGAUUUGGAGAAGUUUUGGGGCCAGCUUGCUCCUCGCAGGCUCCAGCGCCCCCAUCCCACACUG